GUGCUGCCUAUAAUAUUGUAUAUUAUAGUAUUGGAGAGCAGUUCUUAUUUGAAAUAUUGCGUUUACCACAAUCGGUCCCUGCGAAAAGUGAAAUAAAAAAAACAGCAAAAAUAAUUGCAAAAAGAAGUAAACAAUCCACAAAAGGAUUUUGCAAAAAAUAUUAUUUCAUCCUCUUCUGAAACAAAGCCGUAAAAGGUGUGAAAAAGUUUCAAGUAGCUAGUCUUUUGCAGCAAUAAAGCUUCAAUUGUGUGUGCAAACUUGAAAGCAGAGAAAAUUAAAAGUUAUUUCUAAGAUUUGCAAGGUAUAAAUCACGGAAAAUACGGGAUACUAUUUUCUCUUUGUGCAAGUGUCAUAAACUAUUGCAUGGAUUAAAGUUGGAUAUACUUGUAUAAUCUUCACUCAACCUU